rnacentral:rRNA from 1 species
GAUGAACGCUGACAGAAUGCUUAACACAUGCAAGUCCACUUGAAUUUGGGUUUUUAACUUAGGUUUGGGUGGCGGACGGGUGAGUAACGCGUAAAGAACUUGCCUCACAGCUAGGGACAACAUUUGGAAACGAAUGCUAAUACCUAAUAUUAUGAUAAUAGGGCAUCCUAUAAUUAUGAAAGCUAUAAGCGCUGUGAGAGAGCUUUGCGUCCCAUUAGCUAGUUGGAGAGGUAACGGCUCACCAAGGCGAUGAUGGGUAGCCGGCCUGAGAGGGUGAUCGGCCACAAGGGGACUGAGACACGGCCCUUACUCCUACGGGAGGCAGCAGUGGGGAAUACUGGACAAUGGACCGAGAGUCUGAUCCAGCAAUUCUGUGUGCACGAUGAAGUUUUUCGGAAUGUAAAGUGCUUUCAGUUGGGAAGAAACAAAUGACGGUACCAACAGAAGAAGUGACGGCUAAAUACGUG